AGCAGCCGCGGUAAUUCCAGCUCCAAUAGCGUAUAUUAAAGUUGUUGCAGUUAAAAAGCUCGUAGUUGAAUUUCGGGAUCAAAUUGUCGGUCGUGCCUCGGUACGUACUGGCGUUAUUGGUUCCUCCCUUCUGAAGAACCGCGAUGUCAUUAAUUUGGUGUCGCGGGGAAUCAGGACUGUUACUUUGAAAAAAUUAGAGUGUUUAAAGCAGGCUCGCGCUUGAAUACAUUAGCAUGGAAUAAUGAAAUAGGACGUUUGAUUCUAUUUUGUUGGUUUCUAGGAUCGACGUAAUGAUUAAUAGGGAUAGUUGGGGCGAUUAGUAUUCAAUUGUCAGAGGUGAGAUUCUUGGAUUUAUUGAAGACUAACUACUGCGAAAGCAUUUGCCAAGGAUGUUUUCAUUAAUCAAGAGCGAAAGUUAGGGGGAUCGAAGACGAUCAGAUACCGUCGUAGUCUUAACCAUAAACUAUGCCGACUAGGGAUCGGAUGAUGUUAAUUUUUUAAUGACUCAUUCGGCGCCUUA
rnacentral:rRNA from 1 species